UUAGUGGCGAACGGGUGAGUAACACGUGGGCAAUCUGCCCUGCACUCUGGGACAAGCCCUGGAAACGGGGUCUAAUACCGGAUACUGACCUGCCAAGGCAUCUUGGCGGGUCGAAAGCUCCGGCGGUGCAGGAUGAGCCCGCGGCCUAUCAGCUUGUUGGUGAGGUAAUGGCUCACCAAGGCGACGACGGGUAGCCGGCCUGAGAGGGCGACCGGCCACACUGGGACUGAGACACGGCCCAGACUCCUACGGGAGGCAGCAGUGGGGAAUAUUGCACAAUGGGCGCAAGCCUGAUGCAGCGACGCCGCGUGAGGGAUGACGGCCUUCGGGUUGUAAACCUCUUUCAGCAGGGAAGAAGCGAAAGUGACGGUACCUGCAGAAGAAGCGCCGGCUAACUACGUGCCAGCAGCCGCGGUAAUACGUAGGGCGCAAGCGUUGUCCGGAAUUAUUGGGCGUAAAGAGCUCGUAGGCGGCUUGUCGCGUCGGUUGUGAAAGCCCGGGGCUUAACCCCGGGUCUGCAGUCGAUACGGGCAGGCUAGAGUUCGGUAGGGGAGAUCGGAAUUCCUGGUGUAGCGGUGAAAUGCGCAGAUAUCAGGAGGAACACCGGUGGCGAAGGCGGAUCUCUGGGCCGAUACUGACGCUGAGGAGCGAAAGCGUGGGGAGCGAACAGGAUUAGAUACCCUGGUAGUCCACGCCGUAACGGUGGGCACUAGGUGUGGGCAACAUUCCACGUUGUCCGUGCCGCAGCUAACGCAUUAAGUG
rnacentral:rRNA from 2 species